GGAAGAUCCGUUCCCCCCACAUCCAGAGUAGCACAGCCUUCGACCGGAAGUUGCCUUUGCCUUCUGUCCCACCUCCCCGUCUGGAGUUGAAAUAACAAGACAUAGACCGGGUUCUCUAACCUCGGACACCAAGUUCCAAGGCCAGGACCACAUCUGUAAUGUUUUCCACUACAAGAUUCAAAGCCUCACACAUGGUAGACGUUCAGGAAAGACUUGCUGUGUGAAUUUGAUGGAAAUGGGGAAGGAACGAAAGGCGUAAGGAGGCAGGAUGCCAGAGCAUUUUAGCACACUGUGCAAUGAGAAGAGCUUCAGACACCACGAGCACCGCGCUUAGGAACUAAAAUAAAGCACUCCUUACUGAUUUUCA